UACGGAGGGUGCGAGCGUUGUCCGGAAUCACUGGGCGUAAAGGGCGCGUAGGUGGCUCGUGAAGCGUGCGGUGAAAGUCCGAGGCUCAACCUCGGAUCGGCCGUGCGGACUCGCGGGCUCGAGCGUUGUAGAGGCGGGUGGAAUUCCGGGUGUAGCGGUGGAAUGCGUAGAGAUCCGGAAGAACACCAAAGGCGAAGGCAGUGUCCUGGGGAGUACCUGACGCUCAGGUGCGAAAGCGUGGGGAGCAAACAGG
rnacentral:rRNA from 1 species